rnacentral:rRNA from 1 species
ACGGAAGGCAGCAGUGGGGAAUAUUGCACAAUGGGGGAAACCCUGAUGCAGCAACGCCGCGUGAGUGAUGACGGUCUUCGGAUUGUAAAGCUCUGUCUUCAGGGACGAUAAUGACGGUACCUGAGGAGGAAGCCACGGCUAACUACGUGCCAGCAGCCGCGGUAAUACGUAGGUGGCAAGCGUUGUCCGGAUUUACUGGGCGUAAAGGGAGCGUAGGCGGACUUUUAAGUGGGAUGUGAAAUACCCGGGCUUAACCUGGGUGCUGCAUUCCAAACUGGGAGUCUAGAGUGCAGGAGGGGAAAGUGGAAUUCCUAGUGUAGCGGUGAAAUGCGUAGAGAUUAGGAAGAACACCGGUGGCGAAGGCGACUUUCUGGACAGUAACUGACGCUGAGGCGCGAAAGCGUGGGGAGCAAACAGGAUUAGAUACCCUGGUA